rnacentral:lncRNA from 1 species
CCCACCUCUAAAAUGCAAGAGAAUUUAAGAUGGGAGAGUGAUUCAUGCAUAGAUCAACAUGGAGAUCAAAUGGCCUCUUCUAUCCUCCAGCCCGCCACCUCAGGACAGUGGAAAAAGGGCAAGCAGUCACAUUUCUGCUUCUGCCUGAUAGCCAGUGGUAGUACAUUUUGUUCAAAGGCAAAUGACCAAAUGCCCGAGCAGUGGGAUCAGGGGCCAUCGGGUAACAGAAGAGGAGAGACAGGAAGGGAGCCUGCAUUUUCUGGACUGCCUUAUGGUGAUUGAAGAAGGAGCAGGUCAGGACUCCUACCAUUUGUAACUUUCCAUAAAAUUUGAUCAAUAUGUUUUAUCUGUCCUCAAAGCAGCCUCCCAAGCAAUUAGUUUAGCUGCAAUUUGGGGAUCGCUGACAUAGCUCCCACAGUUUUUCAUUAGCCAUUAACCAAACAGCUGUUUGGAGGGAUUUUUUUUUUUUCCUAAACUAAUUCAGAUUUAGGAAUCACUUUUAUGAGCACUCAAAUUGCUCUUGUUAUUUCUCCUUCUUGUCAAAGAUGCUAUUUUUGUGAUUUCUAACUGAAAGACAAAGGAUUGCUUGACAUAAUUAUUUCCUUUUCCUUACUGGGUCCAAAUAUAAUUCAGUUUAAUCUGCAGAAAGUGGUGGGAAUAGUGAGAACAAUAUAAUGUUUUCCAGAAAGCUUAUGAAAUAUAUUUUUUAAACUCGCAUUCAGCUUCUACUAAGUAGAGACACACUGCUAUUUGGAAUUCGUUGGAAAUAAAAUCUGUGAUAACAUUGAUAGUUUUUCAAAUAUAUAUACUUGCCUCCCAUAUAAAUGAGUCUUGAUGUACUGUCUAUGCAGGGCUGUAUGUGAAUUUAUGUAUGUAAAUAAAUGUAAGUAAAUAUAUAUACAAACGUUAUGUAUGUGUGUAUAUGUAUAUUAUAUAUAAGUAGUUUUUAAUGUAUGUUUGUAAUGUUCUGACACAUUACAGUUGAUCAACAAAUAGUAACUACUAUUAUUACUGAGCAAAGCCAAACCCCAUCAUGAUGAGGUAAGUAGAGUCAAAGUCCAAAUCUGGGAUCAUGCUUCUCCCUCUGCCUAUGUCUCUUCCUCUCUCUGUGUGUCUCUCAUGAAUAAAUAGAUAAAAUCUUUUUUCAAAAAAUGAGGUUAGAAGGACCAGAAUCAAUCACUAAUCACAUUACCAGCAUAAUCAAGGGUUUUAUAUUAUAUUCUGAUUAGUUGAAAAUUAUGACUUAUACAUGUAUGUUACCUGAUAAACCAGAUCAUUCAACUACUUGCCUCAUUUCUCAACCAUUUAAUACAGAUUAAAAUUUUACUAUGAUUUUAUUGAAAAUAUGCUAAUUUUUACCCUUAGGGUAUAUCAAUUUGACAUCAUUUAAAACUGGAUGAAGGGGGACGCCUUGGUGGCUCCUUCGGCUUAGGACGUGAUCCUGGGGUUCAGGGAUCGGGUCCCACCUCGGGCUCCCUGUAUGGAGCCUGCUUCUCCCUCUGCCUGUGUCUCUGCCUCUCUCUGUGUCUCUCAUGAAUAAAUAAAUAAACUUAAAAAAAAAAACUA